rnacentral:misc_RNA from 1 species
GGGUGGUGUGGUGUGGUGGUGGUGGUAGAGCAUCAAAACUAAUGAAGAAAUUGACUUGUAAUACAUUAAUUUCAACAAAUUUACAAUGGUCAAUAUUUGUGUUCCCCAAACACUGAUUACACCACAUUAACAGCUCUACACUCCUCAUGGAGGGAAAUAAAGAAGAGAAAGACAACAAAGAUGCUUUGAAUUUGCUUCAGUUUCUGUACAAGCCCUGUUGAAUUUAAUUAUUAUCUUCAUCAUCCAGUUUCUUUCUUUUUUGGCCUCUUUAGUGAUCCCCAUUUCCUCCCCACCACCACCAAAAAAGAAAAUCUUCCACCCAUUAUGUCACAAAUAGAUGAUGAUACUGUCACAAAUAGAAAUCCUAAGCUUCAAUAAUUGAGUGUCCUCUUGACGAUGAUACUCCCACUUCCAAAAUGUAAAAUGCAGUUUUAGAAAGAUAGAUCGUAGUGUGCAAUUGGACACAGAGUAAAGAGUGUUCCUUGUAAUUUUCCCUGAAAUCAACUACAUGAUAGAAAGCAAUAUUGAUUAAAUGAUCUUGGUCUAAUUAAACAUAGUAAAUCAGCUGCAAAGUUAUUUAUAGAUACCAUUAUAUAUAUGCGCAUCCAUGUAUGCAUGUGUGUUUGGUUAAUAAAUUGGAAAAAUUAAGAAACAACUAAAGUUAA